rnacentral:lncRNA from 1 species
CCCCUGGUGUUCCCCGACAGAUCCUGGCACAGAACUGCGGUCCCGGGGCCUCCUGCCAGCCUGCAGUGGCCUCUGCCCCCGACUCCCGCCACCGCCCCCUGCCCCAGUGCAUCUGUCCUGCCAGGCCUCCGUGACCACCUCCAGCCACAGGGGCUGUACUCAGCCUCGGGUUCUGAGUCACAGGUCGCAUCUCCCAGGCCAGCCUCCCAUUUCCCAGGUGGGCCACGAAGCCUAGAGAGAGUGGGCCCUACAGGCUGUCAGCGGAAACCAGGGACUAAGCCCAGGCCCAGUGGGGAGGGAGGCCGGCUGCAGGCUGUGGUUG